rnacentral:rRNA from 1 species
UACGAGGGGGGCAAGCGUUGUUCGGAAUUAUUGGGCGUAAAGCGCGCGCAGGCGGUCCUUUAAGUCUGAUGUGAAAUCCCACGGCUCAACCGUGGAAGGUCAUUGGAAACUGGGGGACUUGAGUACAGAAGAGGAAAGCGGAAUUCCAAGUGUAGCGGUGAAAUGCGUAGAGAUUUGGAGGAACACCAGUGGCGAAGGCGGCUUUCUGGUCUGUAACUGACGCUGAGGCGCGAAAGCGUGGGGAGCAAACAGG